UAUUUUUUCUUUUAUAGCUCUCAAAUCCUGGGACUAAAAGGCAUAGAAUCCCUUGUGAUGGAUCAAUUCAUGUUGCUCAUUGUGUCCUUGAACUGACAUAGAUCCAUCUGGCUGUUUCCUGAAUCCUGGGGUUAAAGGUGUGUGCCACCAUUGCCUGGCUCUAUGGCUUGCUAAAAUGGUUGCUGGGAUUAAAGACUUGUAUCACCACUCCCUGGUUCCAUGGCUUAUAGCUAGCUUUGCUUUCUACACGUGCAGGUGAGCCCAAGGAGUGAUAAAAAUGCUACUCUGCAGAGACAGGCAAAGAAAGCACUGGGGAUUUGAAG
rnacentral:lncRNA from 1 species